rnacentral:rRNA from 1 species
UACGUAGGGGGCAAGCGUUAUCCGGAUUCAUUGGGCGUAAAGCGCGCGUAGGCGGCUUGUUAAGUCAGGUGUGAAAACCGGGGGCUCAACCCGCGGCCUGCACCUGAAACUGGCAGGCUUGAGUCUGGUAGAGGGAAGUGGAAUUCCGAGUGUAGCGGUGAAAUGCGCAGAUAUUCGGAAGAACACCAGUGGCGAAGGCGGCUUCCUGGGCCACGACUGACGCUGAGGCGCGAAAGCUAGGGGAGCGAACAGG